GUUGUCUCACAAGCAUAUCCACAAUCAACUAAAGAUUGCAAUCAGUGUGUUUCUUGAUAGUCCCAUGCAUAUCCACUCAGUACCUGUGAGUUUAACUGGACUUUGGACAAGCAAUCCUAACUCCCAGAUGGGAGCACCAAAGCUGAAUUUACCACAAGGCGUUUGGUAGUCAAAUUGCCAGCUUUUAAUUUUUGUUGUUGUGGGAGCACAGAGGACCAGAUUGGUCUCAUAGAUGGUAGCUGAGCCAAUGUAAGAUCUAGUGAAUCUGAAUGUUGGAAGAUUUAGGAAAGAUGGAAGAAAGUACCAUAUUUUUUGCUCCAUAACUCACUUUUUCCCUCCUAAAAAGUAAGGGGAAAUGUGUGUGCGUUUUAUGGAGCGAAUGCAGGCUGUGCAGCUAUCCCAGAAGCCAGAACAGCAAGAGGGAUUGCUGCUUUCACUGCGCAGCAAUCCCUCUUGCUGUUCUGGCUUCUGAGAUUCAGAAUAUUUUUUUUCUUGUAUUCCUCCUCCAAAAACUAAGUGCGUCUUGUGGUCUGGUGCGUCUUAUAAAGCGAAAAAUACGGUACUUAUUCACACAGCAAAUAGUCAAGCUAUGGAACGUCGCUUGCCCAGGAGUCAGCGAUGGCCAACAAUUUGGAUGACUUUGAAAGAGGAUCAGACCGAUUCAUGGAGAAGAAGACUGUCAAUGGCCAGUAGCCAUGAUGGUGAUGCUGUGCCUUCACAGCUGGAGCUGUCAGUGCUUCCAGAUUCCAGUUGCUGGAAACCACAGGAGUGGAGAGUGCUCUUGUGCUCAUGUUCUGCUCAAUUGUUUCCCACAGGCGUCUGGUUGGCCACUGAGAAUAAGUUGCCAUUGGACAGGUCCAGCAGAAUAUUCUUAUGUUCUUGGCCAUCCCCCAUUCAGGGGUUUAUGCAGACUACCAUUAGCAGGGAUACUGCUGGUGGUAGUUUCAACCCAUCCGCACUCUGAGUGAACACAGUGAAGACUUCUGCAGAAGGUGGAGACCCUGUGCUAGUGGAAUCUGGCAGAGCUGACCAAUUCCCAAGUACAGGGAAAUGCCUGCAGUAUCAUAUUGUGCUAUGGAUUGCUGUGUUGCACUCAUGUAUAGGGUUACAGUCUUCAUUAUCUUCUUGUAUUGCUAUAUGUAUUCCUUUUUGUUGCCUGAUUUGUUUCAACCUUAAUUUAAUUCAGAAAUAAAAUAAAAUUCCGUAGAAAAGGGGAAGGGGGACAGAUUUCAUUUUGAGCAAUCAUUCCCUUAGGCUUAGAGUGUCCUUGAACAAUUGGUUUAUAAAGUUAUGUAUUUUAUUUUAUUUUUUUACCCUAUCUUGCUUGAAUAGGCUUCUCUGUUUAAUCUGAUAAUCUGAGCUGGUUUUGCAAUGAUGUAUUUGUUCAUGCAAGCCAAUUUUUGCUCCGGUCCUUAGUUUUUCUUCCCUUUCCUGAAGUUGAAAGCAAGCUUUGUUCAACCCAGUGUUUCUAGAAAUUUCUUUCUUUCUUUCUUUCUUUCUUUCUUUCUUUCUUUCUUUCCUUAUGGAAGGAGAAUAAUUUUCUGGCAUAUGAUUUCAGAAAGGCAGAAGAGAUGGCGAGAAAUGAUUGGAAGGAAUGAUACACUUCAAAUGAAAGUGUGAACAAAAAGAGGGUGGAAAAAUCUUCACUGCCUAGUUGUAGCUGACUGCUCAAAUCCAUUGUGUAGCAUCUAUUCAAGAAAGGUUCUUUAGCUAAUACAACUGAAAUUGUAUCCUUCAUUAAAUCUGCAUUUUCAGUGGGCUGGAAUAUUUCAUCUCAUCAGUAGUUACAUAACGUCCCUGAGAUCCCAAGACCAGCUGAUUAGCCACCGGGUGAUACUUCCCCUCAUGUUAACAUUACUCAUAAAUGAUACUUUAUUUCCUGACAACCAUAAAUACAUUCCUGAAUGCCAUGUCUUGGGCAAUUGCAAAUUUGAAAUCAGAAUGGAAAUUUCUUUACUUCACUUUACAUUCUUCUCUGAUACCCUGACUUAGGAACCAAGCAGACACCA
rnacentral:lncRNA from 1 species